rnacentral:rRNA from 1 species
UUUAUGGAGAGUUUGAUCCUGGCUCAGAGUGAACGCUGGCGGCGUGCCUAAUACAUGCAAGUCGAACGAUGAAGCUUCUAGCUUGCUAGAAGUGGAUUAGUGGCGCACGGGUGAGUAACGCAUAGGUCAUGUGCCUCUUAGUUUGGGAUAGCCAUUGGAAACGAUGAUUAAUACCAGAUACUCCCUACGGGGGAAAGAUUUAUCGCUAAGAGAUCAGCCUAUGUCCUAUCAGCUUGUUGGUAAGGUAAUGGCUUACCAAGGCUAUGACGGGUAUCCGGCCUGAGAGGGUGAACGGACACACUGGAACUGAGACACGGUCCAGACUCCUACGGGAGGCAGCAGUAGGGAAUAUUGCUCAAUGGGGGAAACCCUGAAGCAGCAACGCCGCGUGGAGGAUGAAGGUUUUAGGAUUGUAAACUCCUUUUGUUAGAGAAGAUAAUGACGGUAUCUAACGAAUAAGCACCGGCUAACUCCGUGCCAGCAGCCGCGGUAAUACGGAGGGUGCAAGCGUUACUCGGAAUCACUGGGCGUAAAGAGCGCGUAGGCGGGAUAGUCAGUCAGGUGUGAAAUCCUAUGGCUUAACCAUAGAACUGCAUUUGAAACUACUAUUCUAGAGUGUGGGAGAGGUAGGUGGAAUUCUUGGUGUAGGGGUAAAAUCCGUAGAGAUCAAGAGGAAUACUCAUUGCGAAGGCGACCUGCUGGAACAUUACUGACGCUGAUUGCGCGAAAGCGUGGGGAGCAAACAGGAUUAGAUACCCUGGUAGUCCACGCCCUAAACGAUGGAUGCUAGUUGUUGGAGGGCUUAGUCUCUCCAGUAAUGCAGCUAACGCAUUAAGCAUCCCGCCUGGGGAGUACGGUCGCAAGAUUAAAACUCAAAGGAAUAGACGGGGACCCGCACAAGCGGUGGAGCAUGUGGUUUAAUUCGAAGAUACACGAAGAACCUUACCUAGGCUUGACAUUGAGAGAAUCCGCUAGAAAUAGUGGAGUGUCUGGCUUGCCAGACCUUGAAAACAGGUGCUGCACGGCUGUCGUCAGCUCGUGUCGUGAGAUGUUGGGUUAAGUCCCGCAACGAGCGCAACCCCCUUUCUUAGUUGCUAACAGGUCAUGCUGAGAACUCUAAGGAUACUGCCUCCGUAAGGAGGAGGAAGGUGGGGACGACGUCAAGUCAUCAUGGCCCUUACGCCUAGGGCUACACACGUGCUACAAUGGGGUGCACAAAGAGAAGCAAUACUGCGAAGUGGAGCCAAUCUUCAAAACGCCUCUCAGUUCGGAUUGUAGGCUGCAACUCGCCUGCAUGAAGCUGGAAUCGCUAGUAAUCGCAAAUCAGCCAUGUUGCGGUGAAUACGUUCCCGGGUCUUGUACUCACCGCCCGUCACACCAUGGGAGUUGUGUUUGCCUUAAGUCAGGAUGCUAAAUUGGCUACUGCCCACGGCACACACAGCGACUGGGGUGAAGUCGUAACAAGGUAACCGUAGGUGAACCUGCGGUUGGAUCACCUCCUUUCUAGA